CACGGGGGGAACGCGAAGAACCUUACCUAGGCUUGACAUGAGAGUGGUAGGAAGCGGAAACGGGACCGACCCUUCGGGGAGCUCCCACAGGUGCUGCAUGGCUGUCGUCAGCUCGUGCCGUGAGAUGUUAGGUUAAGUCCUGUAACGAGCGCAACCCUCGCUGCCAGUUACAAGUGUCUGGCGGGACUGCCGGUGACAAACCGGAGGAAGGUGGGGAUGACGUCAAGUCAGCAUGGCCUUUAUGUCUAGGGCGACACACACGCUACAAUGGCGCGUACAGAGGGAUGCCAAGCCGCGAGGCGGAGCUAAUCUCACAAAGCGCGUCGUAGUUCGGAUUGCAGGCUGCAACUCGCCUGCAUGAAGCCGGAGUUGCUAGUAACCGCAGGUCAGCCACACUGCGGUGAAUACGUUCCCGGGUCUUGUACACACGC
rnacentral:rRNA from 1 species